rnacentral:rRNA from 1 species
CCUACGGGAGGCAGCAGUGGGGAAUAUUGGACAAUGGGCGAAAGCCUGAUCCAGCCAUGCCGCGUGUGUGAAGAAGGCCUUCGGGUUGUAAAGCACUUUCAGUGGGGAAGAAAGCCUUGGGGCUAAUACCCUCGAGGAAGGACAUCACCCACAGAAGAAGCACCGGCUAACUCCGUGCCAGCAGCCGCGGUAAUACGGAGGGUGCGAGCGUUAAUCGGAAUUACUGGGCGUAAAGCGCGCGUAGGCGGUCUGAUAAGCCGGUUGUGAAAGCCCCGGGCUCAACCUGGGAACGGCAUCCGGAACUGUCAGGAUAGAGUGCAGGAGAGGAAGGUAGAAUUCCCGGUGUAGCGGUGAAAUGCGUAGAGAUCGGGAGGAAUACCAGUGGCGAAGGCGGCCUUCUGGACUGACACUGACGCUGAGGUGCGAAAGCGUGGGUAGCAAACAGGAUUAGAUACCCGAGUAGUC